rfam:Cricetulus griseus cell line CHO-K1, whole genome shotgun sequence.
AAAUAGGCUCUUCUAAGAGUCAUCAUAAUUUUUCUUGAAUUAAAAU